CCUACGGGUGGCAGCAGUGGGGAAUAUUGGACAAUGGGGGAAACCCUGAUCCAGCGACGCCGCGUGAGUGAAGAAGUAUUUCGGUAUGUAAAGCUCUAUCAGCAGGGAAGAAAAUGACGGUACCUGACUAAGAAGCCCCGGCUAACUACGUGCCAGCAGCCGCGGUAAUACGUAGGGGGCAAGCGUUAUCCGGAUUUACUGGGUGUAAAGGGAGCGCAGACGGCAAUGCAAGUCUGAAGUGAAAGGCGUGGGCUCAACCCAUGAACUGCUUUGGAAACUGUAUAGCUUGAGUGUCGGAGGGGUAAGCGGAAUUCCUAGUGUAGCGGUGAAAUGCGUAGAUAUUAGGAGGAACACCGGAGGCGAAGGCGGCUUACUGGACGACAACUGACGUUGAGGCUCGAAGGCGUGGGGAGCAAACAGGAUUAGAUACCCUUGUAGUC
rnacentral:rRNA from 1 species